rnacentral:lncRNA from 1 species
UAGGGGAUAAGUUUAACCCUUCAACAUCUUGUUGCUCAUGAUUGUCAUUACCAUUCGCAUGAUGCUCCUCUUGCAAGUUUCGCUUCGAACUAUGCCAACCAAUGUUGUUCUUCUCUCGUUGAGUAACGUAAUGAAUGAUUCGAUUCUGGGAUCUCCACCCUCCCCAACCCUACCUUAGACCGGAAAGAGAUACGUUUGCUCUUCUGCGGGGGCUGCUCCGACCUUCCGGAAAGAGGAUUUCUUUUUUCUGGAUCCUGAACCUGUGACCUAGCAACAAUGAGUGUGGUGCUUGGGUUGCCUCUUGGAAUGGGUGACCAGCAAAGAGGAAUGUUAUCCAAUCCUCCUACCGAACCACCCCAGUUACACCGAGCAGUCUACACUGAAUUUCUUCUCUUAUGAUUUAGCUUAAAAUACCCGAUUAAUGCUGAAUUGGGCCUAAGACUAAACCAAACGUUUGCGCCCUACGAUUGCUACUGUGAUGCUUACUAUUGCAUAAGAGAGAGCUCUUUCUUUAGUAUUUAGUAUGAGAUAUCCUCCCCAGUCUAUUGUCUGUGCUUCCUUCAUUCGCUUGGGACGGGACUCGCUAGCGACCGCUCUAUCGAGUUUGAACCGCUGGAACCAAAGAAAGGAUUGUGGCAAGCAACAGAAAAAAAAGUGAGUGUUAGGGUGCAGCGUGCUUUUGAAUCAUACUAAGAGAGGGGAUGUCUUGAAUGAAUGGGAUACAUAAUAGUAGAUGACUAGUUCCGAUCACCUGGAAGGUGGGAUCGUUCUCUCGUUUCCCUCACCCCAACAGGUGAGCAGGAUUGCUAUUCAAGUACCUAACAUGUUGUCGUUUCGAAUGGGUGGGACAUAGAGACAGAGGUGGAAGUGAGGUACGAACAACAUUCGUAUCUCCGGUUGGACCAAUGCUCUACCAGCUGAGCCACACGGUGUCAGGGGAGGUUAAUAAUAACAAAAGGAAAACGGAAAGCCGGACAAAUGGCUUGUCCUCAGCACCAAAAAAGAAAAGAAAAGAAAACAGAAAAAUUACCCUGCUUCUACUGCCGAGUCUACUCCUGUCCUUCGAAUGAGUUGAAAGGCCCUUGCCUGAACAGGUGGUCUCUGAUAAUAAGGGAAUUGCUCCUGCGCCUGCCGUGGCUACUAAAUCUGCAGCUGUGUCCGCUACUAAGGGCUCUGGGUUUCCAACUGAAAUGGGAUCCGUAUAUGGAACGUCUACAGAGACUGGAAGGGAUGCCGUGUGCUAUGGAACAGGAUCCGCGCCUGUCCAGGUCGAGAUCAAAAAUCACCUAUAGGGGGCCCAUUCCUGCUUGUUGAUCCCCUUUUUCCCUUAUCCUACUCGCUGGUCUCACUAUAUUAUCAGUUCUAAUUGCAACAUUCCUCCCCCCUCAAAUGGCACUGGAUUUGACAGUAAGACCGAACGGAUUACUACCGUCUAUUCGCUCGUUCUAGACUGAAGAACUGGUAGCACCUAGAUUGACCCGAUAUAGACCGUGUUCCGCGUCAGACCUCAACUCCUGGGUGGAAAUCCCCAUUAUGAGAUCCAGGUAUUGCACCCCGGUUUGAUUGACUCUGCUAGGCUUGCUACGGCUUGACCGACCCUUUAGGGUAAAAGAAUGAAGAGUAGCUAAAUGAAAGAAGUGAAGCAAUGCGCAGCGAAGGGGAUCCCCAUACGUGACAGGGGAGGCCCGAGCGGGCUAGCAUAGUUUGAAAUAGUCUGACCCGCGAGUCAAAGACCCCUUUUCAUUGCCUUCCUUCUUCUUCGAUAGCAUCUAGAGCAGCGAAAAAGGCGAAAACAGUAAGAGCUCCUUCUUGAACAAUCGAUUCUGUAACAACCUCAAAGGCGGCGAAUCCUAUAUAAAGAAACCUCAAACUCCCUUUCUGGCACAUCACCUUUAAGAGGAACUGAAGAGGAGAAAGGUUGAUCAAAUCCACUGCUGUUCUCACUGCUUCACCCCAAAAGGAUUUAGGCAGUUUAACAUGAGAGAGUAUACACCGAAUU